GGCAGAUGAUGUCAUCUCACGAUGGUCUUCAGAUGCCCACCACGGGCACUGCUGAGAAAGCCACUUGGCACAGCUGAUGUCAGAAG
ensembl:snoRNA SNORD35B small nucleolar RNA, C/D box 35B